CGGACGUUCAAACACCACCGAAGAAGAAGUCAUUCGGCAGAAUGGGGUGAUUUAAAUGUGGAGGUUUAACUGAGCUUUAUAUCGUAUUUCUGGCCUCUCUAAGAAUUUCAACACCAGGCUGUGGCUGUAGAAACUUUCCUUCCCCCCGGUGCUGCUGUCAUCUGUUGGCGGCUCGUUGUGUGAGUAACUUUGGGUAAUAACAAGCCCGACUUCUGCGGUUGUACACCAUAUUUGGCCGAAGAGGAAGCCGCGGCUGUAAACACUGACCCACGUUAUCUGCGGCACCUGAAACAGCAGGGUGCAGGAGCACCAGAGGAUGGUGGCCGAAAGGGACAAAGACAUAAGAAAGCUGGGGUCCAAGUCAGACAAAAGUAAAAGUGAGCCGAAGGUGCUGCGGCUUUAGGUGGGCAGAGUGCGGCAGGAUGAACUUUCCUGCUCUGUCAGCAGCGCUGAAAACAGCCGAACAACCACUGAGUCAAGUCUGGUGGUGCAGCUGCUCCUGCACAAAUUUCCCCCAAAUGCCAUGACACAGUGGCGGCUUUUCCCCGUCAACACGCCCACUGUGGUGAGCCCUCACCUGUUAAACAGGACCCCAGUGGCUAUCAUUGGUUGCAGGUGUGUGAGGCCAGUUUGCUGGACCAGCAGGGAGGAUCUCUUACUUCGACCUGUCCGGAGGUUUGUCCAACAAACACAGUGUGUGGAGGACAAUGACAAAGCUUUUUACUAACGCUUUGGCCAAAAACAUCAACUGGAGGGGAAGAAAUAACAAGCACAAAGUAGAGAACCUCACCAUCAAGAGAGUUAUCCUCAACGCAGUCAGGAAGAACUCGUUCUGUAAGGAUGCCGUGGACGAGGAGAUAGAGAGGUAUAUAAAGCGAUGGCUGCAGCUGGCAGGAAACCGAGAUGGAGGAAGAAAAAGAAGACAGGAAAAGGGAAAGGAAGCGACCAGCAUGGGGAACUACUGUGUAGAGUAGCACAAAAUGCAUCUGCAGCACAUGUUAUUUUAACUCUUACAUCUACAGCAUGAGAUGAAAAGAAAAAUACUAUCCCUCCAAUGAAUGCUCACAAGGCUGGAUUCAUCAUGUCGUGUUUACCUGUCAUGUGAUGCUACAUGUAAGUUAGGACCUAAUGGACACAACCAGAAACACAAACACAGUUACUUUUUAAAAUAUUAUUUAAAAAAUGCUUGCACUUUUACUGUUAUAGCCAUUGUAGUUUAUUCGAGUUCAUCAUGCAUUACACUACUAUGCAUUUUAAUCAUAUCUCAGCAUCAGUUUAUAAUGCCAUUUCCUAUAAUCAUAUUUAUUCAUUUUACUCUAAAGAUUAUUAAUUUCAUGCAGGUAGAUCUUGUAGUCAUCACUAUUAAAACAUUUAUUG